rnacentral:rRNA from 1 species
AGAUUGAACGCUGGCGGCAUGCUUUACACAUGCAAGUCGAACGGCAGCACGGGGGCGAACCCUCGGUGGCGAGUGGCGAACGGGUGGAGUAAUGCAUCGGGACGGUAUCCUUGAGUGGGGGAGUAACGCAGCGAAAGUUAGUUGCUAAUAACCGCAUAAGCUCUGAGGAGGAAAGACGGGGGACCGGAAAACGGCCUCGCGCUGAAGGAGCGGCCGAUGUCCGAUUAGCUAGUUGGUUGAGGUAAAAGGG